rfam:Pristionchus pacificus strain PS312 contig3315, whole genome shotgun sequence.
UCUUCAUUCCGCGUGCUCUCUCACCGGUCUCAGAAGCGAGAGGGCACGCGGAAUGAAGAGA